CCCUUAGAUGUUCUGGGCCGCACGCGCGCUACACUGAUGCAUUCAACGAGUCUAAAACCUGCUCUGAUAGGGGUGGGUAACCUUUUGAAAGUGCAUCGUGAUAGGGAUAGACUAUUGCAAUUAUUGGUCUUCAACGAGGAAUUCCUAGUAGACGUAGUUCAUCAGACUGCAUCGAUUACGUCCCUGCCCUUUGUACACACCGCCCGUCGCUCCUACCGAUUGAAUGCUCAGGUGAGCCAUUCGGACUUUCAUCAUGCUGGUUUCCAGUUUUGAUGAAGGAAAGUCUUGCGAACCUUAUCAUUUAGAGGAAGGAGAAGUCGUAACA
rnacentral:rRNA from 1 species